rnacentral:rRNA from 1 species
UACGGAGGGUGCGAGCGUUGUCCGGAAUCACUGGGCGUAAAGGGCGCGUAGGUGGCGCGGGCAGUCAACGGUGAAAGCUCGGGGCUCAACCCCGAGUCGGCCGUCGAUACUCCCGCGCUUGAGCACUGUAGAGGCAGGUGGAAUUCCGGGUGUAGCGGUGGAAUGCGUAGAGAUCCGGAAGAACACCGGUGGCGAAAGCGGCUUCCUGGUCCAGCAUCGACGUUCAGGCACGAAAGCGUGGGGAGCAAACAGG